rnacentral:piRNA from 1 species
UGGCCUUUUCCUCAGAGAGUGUUCAGG